AUUGAACGCUGGCGGCAGGCCUAACACAUGCAAGUCGAGCGGAUGAAGGGAGCUUGCUCCUGGAUUCAGCGGCGGACGGGUGAGUAAUGCCUAGGAAUCUGCCUGGUAGUGGGGGAUAACGUCCGGAAACGGGCGCUAAUACCGCAUACGUCCUGAGGGAGAAAGUGGGGGAUCUUCGGACCUCACGCUAUCAGAUGAGCCUAGGUCGGAUUAGCUAGUUGGUGGGGUAAAGGCCUACCAAGGCGACGAUCCGUAACUGGUCGGAGAGGAUGAUCAGUCACACUGGAACUGAGACACGGUCCAGACUCCUACGGGAGGCAGCAGUGGGGAAUAUUGGACAAUGGGCGAAAGCCUGAUCCAGCCAUGCCGCGUGUGUGAAGAAGGUCUUCGGAUUGUAAAGCACUUUAAGUUGGGAGGAAGGGCAGUAAGUUAAUACCUUGCUGUUUUGACGUUACCAACAGAAUAAGCACCGGCUAACUUCGUG
rnacentral:rRNA from 1 species